AGUAAAAAGAAUUACUAUAGUUAUUACCAGAGAAUCUCUGAGAUAUGUUUUAUAUUUUCUGUUAUUACCAUUAAGUUGGAUAAACAUAACUCAGCAGCUACUUAUUUAGAAUAUUGAAACACCUAAGAAAAAAAGGAAAGAGACCGAUGAUACUUGAUAACACAAGAGAGCGAAUCCAUACACUUAGAUUUCAAAUAAAAUAAACGGGUACACAUGCCAAUUAAUCUCAAUGCAUUGCCAACAACUAUUAAGUAUACCUUUC